UGUGGCCCCCAUUUACAAAAGAAAACGCUAUAUAUAGGUAUAUCUCUAAUUGAUUUCUCUUUGGGAGAAUUCACUUGAAAAUAUAAAUGUACAGCAUCUACUUCGUACAGGCAACAUUGACAUACAUCAAUAUAAAGAUUGGAACGUGUAUUUGUAUUACUAUAGCAGCAACGUGAUUUGUAAUUUCACGAAUAUGAAGUGUAAUUCUUCUCAAGAAUAACAUACGGAUUUGGCGCACUGCUUCGAUCACGUUGUACCGUUUUAUCGCGUUGUUGAAUUCGGGCUAUUCUUGAAGGGGAGUAAGGUGGAAGAAGAAUAUUUCUUGGCACAUAAGGCUAAAAGGGCGACGAAACAAGCUUGGUUACGGUUGAUCUACGACAGGUAUGUAAGGCAAACCUUUCUUCCUUUGGCAUGAUUCUUGUGCUAUUCAUUCUAUAUGUACUCCAUAUGAUUUCAUUCUUAGACGAGUAAGGUCUAAAUGUUUCUUGUGAUGGCUUAUUGAUAUUGCACUCCUAUUAUGUUCCGAAGGGAACGCCCAUAAGGUGCCAGUUGAGUUGCGUAUACGGUUUUACUAAUGAUUUUGAGGAAAUUAGUUUUAUACUAAAGGAAACAUAAAGUUUGAUUUUCAAAACCACUCCGAAGGGGUGCGAGAUUUUACUAUUUCAUUUCAUUUACGAUUUAUGUUUACAUUCCAUAGUAUCAUCUCUUUGUAUUGAUAUUUGUGGAUUAAGUUUGUGUUGACAUGAUUGUGAUAUUAAGCCGGAAGCGGCUGCCUGAAGGGGCCAUCAUUAUUAAGCCGGAAGCGGCUGCCCGAAGGGGCCAUCAUUAUUAUGCCGGAAGCGGCAGUCCGAAGGGACUAAUGUGAUACUAGCCGGAAGCGGCUGUCCGAAGGGACUAUUCUGUUAAGAUGUCGGAAGCGGCAUAUGUGUUGGAUUGCAUUAUUUACUUAAAGAUUAGUUUGAGACUUCGUGUGCACAUUUAUGUUUCUUCCAGCGAAGGCUGCAGGUAUUAAGUUAGAUUGUGAUUUCUUCUCUCCUAAGUCAAAUUAUGAUUAUGACUUGUUACCACCUUACAUACUCAGUACAUUGUCCGUACUGAUGUCCUUUAGCAUUGGGACGUUGUGUUCAUGCCCGCAGCCUCAGAUUGUUUAGCAGGUUAAGUGUAUAGCUAGGAUGCUUGGACGUCAGCUGGGAUUGGCAAGUUCCACCUCAUUCUGGAGCUGUGCUGAGUCAUGUAUCGAUAUGUAUGAUUAUGGGUAUGUUAGGGCCCUGUCCUGACUCAUAAUGUUCAGUUUACUUCUUAGAGACUUCUGCAGAUAGUGUCCUGUGGUAUGUUUGUCGAGAUGUCGACAAAAUGAUGUCAGUUGAGUCAUUUGUGGAUUUUAAAAGAAUAUGUAUUUUAGAUGAUUUCAAUUGGUUUAAAGUACUUAUUUGA